rnacentral:lncRNA from 1 species
AUCGACGACGCAUCCUAGCUGUUCAGUGUCGAGUAAUCGACCUGUAUCAAGUAUGGAGAAACUCACAAUGCGAACAAAAAUUAAAACCGCUAAAAUUGAAAGAUCAAACAGUCAACCGCUGAAGCCCAGCCACAUUCCAAUACCAGUCAUUAAACCAGAGAGACCUUCCAGUGUCCCUGACAUGGACGUAUUGUCAUCUUCAUCGAACACUAACACACAGAGGACCUCAAGUGCCGCCCACACAAGGCCUUGGAGGCCCUCGAGUGUUUUACCUCAGCAUGUACAGUCUGAGAACCAUCUUCCAAACCCAAGAAUUGCAAAGCUGUUAGACAGGUAUCUGUUUGUAUAUUGUUUAUUUAAAAAAAACUUACCUUUUUUGGCAUUUACUCUUUAAAAAAAAAUACCCACUAAAUACGACCCCAAAUGAAUAGUAAUUUAACUGAAUUGGGUGCACGUGGAACUGCGGGAAAUUGGUGAAACUGAAAAGUUGUGGAAUUAAUGCUAAUUUUCUCUUUUCCCGUGUGUAUUUUCCGUAUAAGCCAUAUUAGAUAUAAGAAAUGACCAUUUAGAAAUAAGAAACGGACAUUUAGCCUGUCAAAUUGCAAAGCAUUUUCUUUAGCCUAAUAAGUUAUAUUCAACCAAACUUUGCUUAUAUAUAAACCUCUGUUUGUGUAGUUACAUUACAGAGACUGGAAAUCAUCUUCCAUCCUGCCGAGUUAUCCGCAAGCCGGUCCCGAGCGUAAUAUACAUAUCCGGCCAUCACCGACAGUAAAAUACACUGCAUCGGAUACAAGCAGCACUAGCAUUAGUACAAGCAAUCACAGCAGUUACAGCAGCGGAAAACGGCGCCAUUUGGGGUACCAGCAUCGAUAAGUUUAAAAGUCCCAGAAAGUGCAGAAAAAUAUGCUGUUUACCCAUUCCAGUUCUAAACAAGCGGUCAAAUCUGACUCCAGCUACAGCACAUGUGCAACAAAGUCUCAUUCCUGUUCCCAGGUCGAUUGACCCACCAGUUGGUUUCAUUAAUACAAUGAAACCGAGAAACGUGAAUUUUCGGCAAGUAAGUGCGAAAUCUGCGCCCAUUCGUGGAACAAGUAAAAUCCCAGUUCUAAGCGACAGGUCUGUAAAAUCUCUUGCACAAAUAUCACAGAAAGUUCCAAGCCUGAAACACCUGGCAGAGCACGCUGUAAAGGAAAACAGCCUAAAGCAGAAUAUUGAUGUACCAAGAGCACAGAAAGUUCCAAGCCUGAAAUACCUGGCAGAGCAAGCUGUAGAGGAAAACAGCCUAAAGCAGAAUAUUGAUGUACCAAUGGAAAAGAAAGUUCCAAGCCUUAUGUACCUGACAGAGCAAGCAGUAAAGGAAAACAGCCUAAAGCAUAACAUUAAUGUACCAAGAGCACAGAAAGUUCCAAGCCUUAUGUACCUGGCAGAGCAAGCUGUAAAGGAAAACAGCCUAAAGCAGAAUAUCGAUGUUCCAAGAGCACAGAAAGUUCCAAGCCUGAAAUACCAGGCAGAACAAGUUGUAAAAAAUUGGCCUAAAGCAGAAUAGUGAUAUACCAAGAGCACAGGAAGUUCCAAGCCUGAAAUACCUGGCAGAGCAAGCUGUAGAAGUAAACGGCCUAAAGCAGAAUACUGAUAUACUAAGAGCACAGGAAGUUCCAAGCCUGAAGCACCUGGCAGAUCAAGCUGUAGAGGAAAACGGCCUGAAACAAAAUAUUAAUGUACCAAGAACACAGAAUGUCCCCAGCCUAAAAUACCUGGCAGAGCAAGCUGUAAAGGCAAAUGGCCUUAAACAGAAUAUUGAUGUACCAAGAGCACAGAAAGUUCCAAGCCUGAAAUAUCUAGCAGAUCAAGCUGUAGAGGAAAACGGCCUGAAAAAAAUAUUGAUGUACCAAGAGCACAGAAUGUCCCAAGCCUAAAAUACCUGGCAGAGCAAGCUGUAAAGGAAGAUGGUCUAAAGCUGAAUAUUGAUGUACCAAGAACACAGAAAGUUCCAAGCCUGAAAUACCUGGCCGAGCAAGCUGUAGAGGUAAACAGCCUAAAGCAGAAUAAUAAUGUACCAAGAGCACAGAAAAUUCCAAGCCUGAAACACUUGGCAGAAAAAUCUCUAGAAGGAAACGGUCUAAAGCAAUAUAAUUAUGUACCAAGAACACGGAAAGUUCCAAGCCUUAAAUACCUGGCAGAGCAAGCUGUAGAAGAAAACGGCCUGAAAAAAAAUAUUGAUGUACCAAAAGCACAGAACGUUCCAAGCCUGAAAUACCCUGCAGAAAAGGCUGCAGAUGAAUAUCACCUAAAGCCAGAAUAUUAAUGCACCAAGAGCACAGAACGGGCCGAGCCUGAAACAAAUGGCAGGACAGGCUUACCUUCUAAAGCAAAACAUUGAUGUACCAACUGUACGAAAGGUUCCAAACCUGAAAUACAUGACAGAGCAGGCCGUAGAGGAAAAUGACCUAAGCAGAACAUCGAGUUUGAAAGAUCACAGGAAGUUCAAUACAUUAGAACCUUUACAGGAAAAGAUAUAGAAGAAAUGGGCAUAAAGCAGGACAUCGAAUCACCAAAAACACAGAAUGUUCCAAUGCCUGAUGUUCUUGGCAGAAAAAGCUGCCAAUGUAAACGUUCUUAAAGAGAAUAUUGAAGUACCAAGAAUAAAGAUAGCUGAAAGUCCCAAUUUAGUUAAUGAAAAUGAGAUUGCUGGAAUAAACCUCCUCAAUGAUACCGGUGUACACAGAACAUGUCUGGAUAAUCUUUUACAACACGCUCAUUCUGAACACAAUUUAGGGCGAGACAAGGUACAUGACGGCGUCACAGCAAGAUCUGCUCUUUGCAACAGCAUGAGCAAUAUUCCUGCAGGCAGAACCUCUGAAUCAAAACGACAGGCCUCAUGUUGCUCUACUCGUAGGUCAAGGCCACCAACAAGAGCAUCUGAAAGGUCAAGGGCGACAAAUGAUUGCGAAGGAACCAAGUUUGAAUAUGCUGACAAAACAGACGACAAGGGUGACUGAAACUAUUACUCUACUGAGAGAGCACAGAAGAAAGUCAAGGAAGCUCCCGAUGUUGUCAAUGGCAACAAGAAACAGCCUGGCGAGACUUUCACACGGGAAACUUACACAGGAGCACCUGAUGCAUGCACAAAUCUUCCAGUCUCGGUUGAAAAAGAAAAGGACAGUCGGAAAACUUCAGGGUCUCGUAGCCAUAGAGAAGAGAAGACUAUACUACCCUCAGGAAAAUGCACGAAAACCACAGGGACUUGUGAACAUGAACA